rnacentral:rRNA from 1 species
CGCCUCUUGAAUUUUAUAAGAGGUCCAGCCUGCCCAGUGACUCUGUUCAACGGCCGCGGUAUCCUAACCGUGCGAAGGUAGCGUAAUCACUUGUUCUUUAAAUGUGGACUAGUAUGAAUGGCACCACGAAGGUUAUACUGUCUCCUUUUUCUAAUCAGUGAAACUAAUCUCCCCGUGAAGAAGCGGGGAUAAAGCUAUAAGACGAGAAGACCCUAUGGAGCUUUAAACAACAUAGCACUUGCCACACACCAUUAAAAUUCCAGAAUCUUCAAUUCUCUGGGCAAUAUGACUAUAAGUUUUUGGUUGGGGUGACCACGGAGCAUAACACAACCUCCAUGUUGAAAGAAUUAUUUUCUAAGCUAAGAACUACAACUCUAAGCAUCAACAUAUUGACAUCCAUUGACCCAAUACACUUGAACAACGAACCAAGUUACCCUAGGGAUAACAGCGCAAUCCACUUCAAGAGCUCCUAUCGACAAGUGGGUUUACGACCUCGAUGUUGGAUCAGGGUUUCCCAGUGGUGCAGCCGCUACUAAAGGUUCGUUUGUUCAACGAUUAAAACCCUA